AUGCAUGUCUAAGUCCAAGCUGUGUUUACACGGCGAGACCGCGGACGGCUCAUUAAAUCAGUCGUGGUCCAAAUGGGCCAGUCCUUUUUACUUGGAUAACUGUGGUAAUUCCAGAGCUAAUACAUGCAACUCAUACCCUGAUGGGAGUUCCCUCUUGCGCUUGUCGCUUGGGGUGCAUCGACCUGAAGGGUGCUUUUAUUAGACCAAACCGCUGGGGGCUGUCUCGGUUCACUUGUGUUCCUUGGCAGCUUGACUCGCUUUAUGGUGACUCUGGAUAACCAUUUCUGACAAGCGCACGUACCCCUCUCCGAGUGGGACGGCGCUGCCACUUUCGAGUGUCUGCCUUAUCAGCUGUCAACCGCUCGCUACACGCGACCGAUGGCUUUGACGGGUAACGGGGAAUCAGGGUUCGAUUCCGGAGAGGCAGCCUGAGAGACGGCUACCACGUCCAAG
rnacentral:rRNA from 1 species